rnacentral:pre_miRNA from 1 species
AAUAAAUCAAUUUUUCACUUUUUAUCUAUAAUUUUUGACUCUUCGUCUUAUUCAAAUUUUUUUACGAUUGAUAUUUUGUUUUUAUUAGACGAUAAAUUAUGAAUAAUGCUUUACGUGUGACUAUUUUUUUUAAUUUUCUAAAAAUUUUUAAAUAAGACGGAUGGUCAAACGUUGGACAAGGAAACC